rnacentral:sRNA from 1 species
AGCCUGCCUUGAGUGCAAUGAUGCUUACAACUAAUUAAACAUAACCAGUCACAGAUUUCCUUCUCCAUUCCCACUGCUUCACUUGACAAGCCUUAA